UACGAAGGGGGGCUAGCGUUGCUCGGAAUCACUGGGCGUAAAGGGCGCGUAGGCGGCCUGAUAAGUAGGGGGGUGAAAUCCUGCGGCUUAACCGCAGGGCUGCCUUCUAAACUGUCAGGCUCGAGCACAGUAGAGGCAGGUGGAAUUCCCGGUGUAGCGGUGGAAUGCGUAGAGAUCGGGAAGAACAUCAGUGGCGAAGGCGGCCUGCUGGGCUGUUGCUGACGCUGAGGCGCGACAGCGUGGGGGAGCAAACAGG
rnacentral:rRNA from 1 species